UUCAGCUGAUUAUCUUGAAUUCUCUAAUUUGUGAGAGGUUCUUCUGUGUAGUAUUGUCGCAACACUAGAUACAGGCGCUGCAGAAAUACGCAGUUUAGUUCUUUGUGGAUUAAAUAUUAUUCGAGCGGGACUUAUAUUACAAUUUCAACUAGAGUAUCUUGAAACUUAUCUAAUGAUUAAAAUAUAGUCAACUAAAAUUGGUCGAAAUUAUGUCUAAGUGAUAUUAAAAAGACAUCUUGUGUUGUAACUUUUUGUGCGUGCAUUUAAGCGUUGCCAGAGCGCUGAACAAUAAACGAGCUUAGCUUUAACCCUAGCCAUGGCGAGUAGUGCAGUCAGAGCAUUGGCCUUAGAGUACAAAUCCCUUCAAGAGGAGCCCGUGGAAGGGUUUAGGGUCAAACUACUCAACGAUGAUGAUCUGUUUGUGUGGGAAGUUGCCCUGUUUGGCCCCCCGGAUACCCUGUACCAGGGGGGGUAUUUCAAGGCCCAUCUGAAGUUCCCCACAGAUUACCCCUACAAUCCACCCUCAGUUCGUUUCCUCAGUAAAGUAUGGCAUCCUAAUGUUUAUGAGAAUGGGGAUCUGUGUAUAUCUAUCCUGCAUCCACCAGUAGACGAUCCUCAGAGUGGAGAGCUGGCUUGUGAAAGGUGGAAUCCAACCCAGAACGUUAGAACCGUUCUUCUCUCUGUAGUUAGUCUUCUCAACGAACCAAAUACUUUCAGUCCCGCAAAUGUGGACGCCAGCGUGAUGUACCGGCGGUGGAAGGAGAGCAAGGGUCGGGACAAGGAGUACGAGAAUAUCAUCAAGUAUUGUCUCAAGCCGAAGGCAAAACCCCCAACUCAGGAGAACAUCGACAUGACUGAUUUCUACGACGACGACUACGAUCUUGAUGACGACUAUGACGAUUAUGACGAGGAGGAAGACGAAGCUGCCGACGACACGGACGAUUCUGGGACUGGAAAGGUUUAAGUAGAGGUGACGGAAUCUUGAUGAAAAUUCAAACUGAAAAUUAGGCAAUAGUGCAUUCUUACUGCAGAUUAUUUUAUACCCGUUAAUCCCAGUUAAUUACAGAUUAAUUUUGCACAUUCAUCAUUGGUGGAUUAGUCAUUAGUUUCCUACUCUCUUCAUUAAUCUCAUUAAACUCCUGCUCAGACUAAUAAUACAUUGGACUGUUUUCUGACCGCUCUUAGACCAAAAUGUUGAAGAUAACCGUUCAUGUGAUUAAAUCUCUUUCUCUUUUAUUUUUAAUCUCAACAUUCUACGCAUUAAAUUUGUGACGAGUUUAAAAGAAUUGCGUCAUUCUCUAUGCGUAUGCAUAAACAUAUACUCAUUCAGGGAUCAAUAUAUUCUACCCAAAUAUUAAGAUUUUCUUAUCUGAGGGUUAACGUCACUGUAUAUUUUAGUCAGUAUUAUUUAUGAAUAAUAUAAAUUUUUAGAUAAUUUGAAAAUAUUGGUAGAAUAUAUUUAUUUCUCAGCACAAUUGUGCUUAAACCUUUGAGAACAAAUAAAGCUACAUAUUUUGCUCUGCUCUGAGUUAGACUUUUACGAACUGGUCUCGAAUCAAAACAAAAAAGCUGAUGUUUAUUGCUGCUGAUUCAAGACAUUGUUCGUUCAUUCUUACUUUUUUGUUCUUUCUGGAUUUUAAAUAUAAUGUAAACUAAAGUAUUUACCCAUCACAUGCAUCCAUUCAUCUAUUCAUCCUUGUAUAACACGUGUCUAGGUUUAUAUGCUUAUUAUUUAUUGAACACGUAUCGUAAAAGUUUAUUAGUAAGAUAUGUAUAUUUGUAGCUGUUCAUCACAAUGUAGCAAAGUUUCGUUUUACGCUAGUUGCUGAAUCCUAUCCACAUAUUUUUUUUAAAUCAAGAUAAUUGGCAUUUAAUCUUUAUACGUCCAGUUUUCGUUUCCAUCAAUCUAAAUCUACAAAUAAAGAAAUAGAUGUGUAAUUGAUUUUACAGCACCUUCACGGUUUCACCUUUGACGACUAUUUGUGUUAAGAUUAAGUCUAACUCUUGCUAAAUGUGUAAUUUUUGUAAUAUUUAAAAGAACUGAUUGUUUUUAAGGCUGAAGAAUGACGAAAUAGAAAUUAGAAGAAAACUU